CAGCCGUAAACUAUGCGCGUUAGGUGUACUGGUGACCACGAGUCACCGGGGUGCCGAAGGGAAACCGUGAAACGUGCCGCCUGGGAAGUACGGUCGCAAGGCUGAAACUUAAAGGAAUUGGCCGGGGGGAGCACCACAACGGGUGGAGCCUGCGGUUUAAUUGGACUCAACGCCGGAAAUCUCACCGGAUAGGACAGACAUAUGAUAGUCGGGCUGAAGACUCUACUUGAUGAUCUGAGAGGUGGUGCAUGGCGUCAGUGACU
rnacentral:rRNA from 1 species